AACCCGUCUUGAAACACGGACCAAGGAGUUCAACAUGCGCGCUAGUUGUUGGGACUAAAAGCCCGCUAGCAAAGUGAAAGCAAGACACAGUGCAACGCUGUGUAUUGGCGAGAUCCUGUUUGACGGCCUUAAAACCGCAGCAGGCGCAUCGCCGGCCCGUCAAAAGCUCACGUGGCUUUGGCGGAGCUUGAGCGUGCACGUUGAGACCCGAAAGAUGGUGAACUAUGCCUGGGCAGGAU
rnacentral:rRNA from 1 species